UCUUGUAGCCUGCUCACAGCCUGAAAUUUAGAAGGGAAAAAUUUCCCCCUUCUGAAUUUCAGGCUGUGAGCAGGCUAUAUAU